rnacentral:misc_RNA from 1 species
GAUGAAGAACGUAGCGAAAUGCGAUACUUGGUGUGAAUUGCAGAAUCCCGUGAACCAUCGAGUUUUUGAACGCAAGUUGCGCCCAAAGCCUUUUGGCCGAGGGCACGUCUGCCUGGGCGUCACGCAUCGCGUCGCCCCCCACAAUUCUUCGUAAAGGGAACAUGUGUUUUGGGGGCGGAUAUUGGUCUCCCGUGCUCAUGGCGUGGUUGGCCGAAAUAGGAGUCCUUUCGAUGGACGCACGAACUAGUGGUGGUCGUAAAAACCCUCGUCUUUUGUUUCGUGCUGUUGCUCGCAAGGUAAACUCUUUAAAAACCCCAAUGUGUCGUCUCUUGACGACGCUUCGACCGCGACCCCAGGUCAGGCGGGACUACCCGCUGAGUUUAAGCAUAUCAAUAAGCGGAGGA